rnacentral:tRNA from 1 species
GGGGCGGUAGCUCAGAUGGUAGAGCAUCGCGUUCGCAAUGCGAAGGUCGGGAGUUCAAACCUCCUCCGCUCCA